CGCCUUAACCUGCAGGCGUGUUUCUCGCUAUUCUCUACUCUGUACGGCUCAUCCGUCCUCGAGGAGAAAGACACCUUGAUGUGACAAGAAAUGGCGGAGCGAAGAGUGUUCGCUUGGCAUCUCCUCCUUUUUACGCAAGAGGGCCCCCUACGAAUUCCCCAGCUGCGAGUCUUCACCUGAAGUAGCGUAUUAUCCACCCGGGCGAAGAGCAAACAAGUCGGGUCGCAGGUGAGACUCUGAGAAGCCCCAAGGACUAUUUGUGUUUGGUUUAAAGCAUCGAGUAUGAUUUCUCUAGGGUUGGCCAUAUUGUUUGAGUUCUUGCCAAUAAAAUGUAAGCAGAAA